rnacentral:rRNA from 1 species
UACGGGAGCAGCAGUGGGGAAUAUUGCACAAUGGGCGAAAGCCUGAUGCAGCUAUGCCGCGUGUAUGAAGAAGGCCUUAGGGUUGUAAAGUACUUUCAUCGGGGAGGAAAAACAAAACUAAUAAUUUUAUUUCUUGACGUUACCCGAAAAAGAAGCACCGGCUAACUCCGUGCCAGCAGCCGCGGUAAUACGGAGGGUGCUAGCGUUAAUCAGAAUUACUGGGCGUAAAGAGCACGUAGGUGGUUUUUUUAAGUCAGAUGUGAAAUCCCUGGGCUUAACCUAGGAACUGCAUUUUGAAACUGAAAUACUAGAGUAUCGUAGAGGGAGGUAGAAUUCUAGGUGUAGCGGUGAAAUGCGUAGAUAUCUGGAGGAAUACCUGUGGCGAAAGCGGCCUCCUAAACGAAUACUGACACUGAGGUGCGAAAGCGUGGGGAGCGAAACAGGGAUUAGAUACC